CCGAAGAUCAUUGCUUAGAUAGUCUUGUAAAGUGGCAAACGGGAGCUGACUUUACUGAACUCUUCGGAGUAUAGUUUUUUUUUUUUGUGCAGUGAAAUCCCACUCCACCAUGUCGGACAUAAAUACUUGUCCCCUGGUUGCCAGCUGAGGACUUGAACAGGGUAUAUUCCAUAACUUCUCGUAGUCUCUGUGACUAUUACCGGGGAGUGAGACCAUACUCGGUACAGUU
rnacentral:snoRNA from 1 species